CAAUAGCGUAUAUUAAAGUUGUUGCAGUUAAAAAGCUCGUAGUUGGAUUUGUGGCGUACGGUGGGUUCCGGGCACUUGUUGUCUGAGUAACUUGCUGUUGCCAUCCUUGGGUGGAACCUGUGUGGCAUUAGGUUGUCGUGCAGGGGAUGCCCAUCAUUUACUGUGAAAAAAUUAGAGUGUUCAAAGCAGGCUUAUGCCGUUGAAUAUAUUAGCAUGGAAUAAUGAGAUAGGACUUUUUUGCUAUUUUGUUGGUUUGCGCAAAGAGGUAAUGAUUAAUAGGGACAGUUGGGGGUAUUCGUAUUCCAUUGUCAGAGGUGAAAUUCUUGGAUUUUUGGAAGACGAACUACUGCGAAAGCAUUUACCAAGGAUGUCUUCAUUAA
rnacentral:rRNA from 1 species